GGGGGGGGGGGGGGGGGGGGGGGGGGGGGGGGAGGCGGGGGGGGCCGGGGGGGGGAGGGGGGGGCGGGUGGGUGACGCGUGGGAACGUACCCUUUGCUACGGAAUGACUCAGGGGAACUUGAGCUAAUACCGUAUGUGCCCUACGGGGGAAAGAUUUAUCGGCAAAGGAUCGGCCCGCGUUGGAUUAGCUAGUUGGUGGGGUAAUGGCCUACCAAGGCGACGAUCCAUAGCUGGUCUGAGAGGAUGAUCAGCCACACUGGGACUGAGACACGGCCCAGACUCCUACGGGAGGCAGCAGUGGGGAAUAUUGGACAAUGGGCGCAAGCCUGAUCCAGCCAUGCCGCGUGAGUGAUGAAGGUCUUAGGAUUGUAAAGCUCUUUCACCGGUGAAGAUAAUGACGGUAGCCGGAGAAGAAGCCCCGGCUAACUUCGUG
rnacentral:rRNA from 1 species